AUUGAACGCUGGCGGCAUGCCUUACACAUGCAAGUCGAACGGUAACAGGUCUUCGGAUGCUGACGAGUGGCGAACGGGUGAGUAAUACAUCGGAACGUGCCUAGUAGUGGGGGAUAACUACUCGAAAGAGUGGCUAAUACCGCAUGAGAUCUACGGAUGAAAGCAGGGGAUCGCAAGACCUUGUGCUACUAGAGCGGCCGAUGGCAGAUUAGGUAGUUGGUGGGAUAAAAGCUUACCAAGCCGACGAUCUGUAGCUGGUCUGAGAGGACGAUCAGCCACCCUGUGACAGAGAGACGGCCCAGACUCCUACAGGGGGCAGCAGUGGGGAGGUUUGGACAAUGGGGGAAAGCCUGAUACAGCCAUGCCGCGUGCAGGAUGAAGGCCUUCGGGUUGUAAACUGCUUUUGUACGGAACGAUAAGUCCUGGGUUAAUACCCUGGGGUCCUGACGGUACCGUAAGAAUAAGCACCGGCUAACUACGUGCCAGCAGCCGCCGUAA
rnacentral:rRNA from 1 species